GCAGGUUUGUAAUGAUUCAAAUGUUUAUUCAUACUGUUAUCAUUGAAAUUUACAAGAUUUUUAGGGGGAUUAAACUGUUCUAUUAUAUAAUAAUGCACAAACUAAAGAGUGUCUAAAUUUUAAAAUUCGGGAAUCUAAGACAUGAAUCUACUUGCAAUUUGAACUUUGAAGUGUAAGAUCUUAUUCAUAGUUUUGAGUUUCUUAAAAUUUGAAGCAAUAGGACUUUGAGUUACACACGAAGAAUUGUUUUUUUGC
rnacentral:misc_RNA from 1 species